rnacentral:rRNA from 1 species
UACGAGGGGGGCAAGCGUUGUUCGGAAUUAUUGGGCGUAAAGGGCGCGUAGGCGGUGCGGUAAGUCACCUGUGAAAACUCUGGGCUCAACUCAGAGCCUGCAGGCGAAACUGCCGUGCUUGAGUGUGGGAGAGGUGCGUGGAAUUCCCGGUGUAGCGGUGAAAUGCGUAGAUAUCAGGAGGAACACCAAUGGCGAAGGCAGCGCUCUGGGACGUGACUGACGCUGAGACGCGAAAGCGUGGGGAGCAAACAGG